UAGGGAAUCUUCCACAAUGGACGCAAGUCUGAUGGAGCAACGCCGCGUGAGUGAAGAAGGUUUUCGGAUCGUAAAGCUCUGUUGUAAGAGAAGAACGUGUGUGAGAGUGGAAAGUUCACACAGUGACGGUAACUUACCAGAAAGGGACGGCUAACUACGUGCCA
rnacentral:rRNA from 1 species